AUUUUCAACUCAAGGCAUCUGAGUUCCUCCUCAUCAAGUCAAGGGAAGUCGCAAAACCAGACGGAAUUCAAGGGAAGGAAACCGACUCCGCCUCUGAUGGCUGCAACAGUAUGCACAUUCAGGGAGGAAAGGAAUUAGCAGUGGUCAUCUUUCUGGACCAUCUACCACAGUGGCUAAAGUUAACACCUAGAAAGGAAGGUCGUGUUUUCAGCUUCUUUGACUGCUGCUCCAGGUGUCAAACCCUGAAGGGUGAGCUGACGCUAAAGACUGAGUGGUUAUUUUUUCCAGAAGAGGAGAAAGAUUGAAAAUGUGGCCGGCCGAUUCUCCCUGAUGAUCACACAGACAGACCUGCAUGACAGUCAAACAGACAGGCCUGCAUAGCACCCCAGUUACACAGACGAAUUUCCCCAGAGCUGCCUUAACAUUGAGCAAAUAGUUAAACCUAGGGAAAUUGGUGCCCAGACAGCAAAGCUAGAAAUGAAACAUAUGGUCAGUAGGAGCCUUGCGUGGGCUUCUCCCUAACCUGGAGCAAACCAAAAUAAUAGAGACAGUCUUUCAUUCCUAGUGCCAGGACCCGUCUCGGGUCAACGAAAUCUGAGACAGUCAAGGUAACAGAGGCAGCUGUUCGAAUAGAUUCAUUGGAGAGUCUAAGGCAGCCCUCCAGACCAAGCUGUAAAGCAGAUAAGAUAGAAAUAAUCACUCUGGUACCACAGUAGACAGGCCUUGUAGGUACUGGGCCGCUCACAGCUUAAUCCGACUUAGAAAGCAUUUUUGCCUCUGACCUUCUAGUUGAAACAAAAUUAGUUACCAGUAGACUUAGGCAAAUGCUACACUGCACACAGGCGCAUAACCGGCAAAUAUGGAGGGCAGGCAGAGAAGUUUUCUUGUAUCUGCAUCUGCUUCUGAUACGGACAGGGGACAGGGAAAAUACUGGUUAGAAGAGGGUGGAUCCCUGGCAAAGACCUCACCUUCAAGCCUGAAGACCUGCGGCCCUAAAUGAGGACAGGCAUUCCUGUUUUCAAGACAAAGAGGUUGCCUUUUGUCCCUCCACACCCUCUAUCCUGCCCCCACGUAAACCGCAAACCCCAAGCUCCACAGCAGAGCAGCAGGUGAGUAGAGGAGGAUACCAGCAGAUGGACGGUGGAACAGCACAGCAGGGAAAGAGAGAAGAGGAGAGACGUCUGGAUGCCAAGAGGAGUUCAGCUGGGGGCGGUAGGAAAGGAGUCCAGCCGCUGGGCGGCCUGACUCCAGGGGAAGAUCACCUUCCCAUUCCAUCCACCCACCGUCUGGCUCUCC
rnacentral:lncRNA from 10 species